rnacentral:rRNA from 1 species
GACGAACGCUGGCGGCGUGCUUAACACAUGCAAGUCGAACGGUGAAGCGCCUUCCUUUUUGGUGGGUGUGGAUGAGUGGCGAACGGGUGAGUAACACGUGAGUAACCUGCCCCCUUCUUCUGGAUAACCGCAUGAAAGUGUGGCUAAUACGGGAUAUUCUGGGUCUGUCGCAUGAUGGGUCUGGGAAAGAUAUUGUUUCGGUGGGGGAUAGGCUCGCGGCCUAUCAGCUUGUUGGUGGGGUGAUGGCCUACCAAGGCGGUGACGGGUAGCCGGCCUGAGAGGGUGGACGGUCACACUGGGACUGAGACACGGCCCAGACUCCUACGGGAGGCAGCAGUGGGGAAUAUUGCACAAUGGGCGCAAGCCUGAUGCAGCGACGCCGCGUGAGGGAUGGAGGCCUUCGGGUUGUGAACCUCUUUCGCCAGUGAAGCAGGCCUGCCUCGUUUGUGGGUGGGUUGACGGUAGCUGGAGAAGAAGCGCCGGCUAACUACGUG